AGCUGCUGUGGCAUAGUGGUUGGAGCGUUGGACUAGGACCUGGGAGACCAGGGUUCAAGUCCCCGCUGAGCCA